rnacentral:lncRNA from 1 species
AUGAUAUUUUAUCGUCAAUACGCAGUACUUUUUCUCUAAUAUAAAUUGAAAUAUUAAUGCUUAAAUCAAAACAUUAAAAUUAAGCAUCAACAUUCCAUUAACCAAGCAUAGUAUCAUAUGGCAUCAAGCUAAAUUAGAACACAAUUACUCAUUCAUGUUAGUCAGCUAAUCACAUUGUCCUAAUACAUCCACUUCAAUUAAAAUGAAUUUCAAUAGUUAUCGUUGGGAUUACUAGCGCCGGAAGAUCUUCUUGCAUCAUUGGGUGAAACGGGUCCACUAGCUGCAUCACUUGGCUGCAACAAAAAGUAAAAAAAAAAAAUACAACUAUUAGGAGUAUCAGGAAACAAACCAACAAAAAAAAGCUUUUAUCAGAAACAAGUUAUUGGCAUGAAAGAUACAUUUCAAGUAAACCCCAACAAACUACAUCCAUUAUCAACAGGCAGUUUAGUCGUAGUUGAAUCAACUAAAAUAAUACAAACACCUUGUAGCCAUCUCACACUCAAAAACUUCUAUCACAAUAGGAAUUCAUCUGACUAUGAGAAGAAAGUGGCUCAUGUUAUGGGCAGAAACGUCAAUAUGCAUACACAAAAAGAAGCUAGCAUCUAAUUUUAGAAAUAACAAGCCUAACUACUAGAUAUAGCCUCAGAAAUGAUUUUCUUAAAACUUAAAACAUGUGUUUUCAAGUUUAAAAGCUGUACAUUUCAUGUGACAGUGUUCGCCUUUUAAGCCACUGUAAAACAGAAGGAAUGAAAACAUUGUAAAUGUGACGAACAAAAAUAAAUGCCUUCAAAAACACCAAAAGAAUGCACUCACAAAUAUUGCAGAACUUCAUAAAAUAGAUAAAACAAUGAGCUGGUUUCGAGCCAGUUCGACUCUUAGUAAAAGCACCAGUGUAACGAUCUGAUUCACACACAGGUAUGAGAGGGAUGAGUAGAAAAGAGGAAGAAAGAAGAGGAGAUGAGAGGGAAAACAAAGAGUAACAACUUUAGCCCGCCUCACAGUUUGCUCCUAACUGCUAAUUGAAGACUACAGAGUAAUACAUUUCGGUUAUACUUUAAUGUCCUAUACAUCAACAACGACAGCAAUUGUAACGAAAGGAUAAUGAUUACCUAUUCCAUCGACAGUCCAAUGAUGUGAAGACUCACGUUUAGCACGCUUAUUGCAUGUUGCUUGUGGUGGUGUGGGAUUAACAGGAGGUUGAAAUGAAGGAAUUGGUUGUGACGUCGCCUGAAAC